rnacentral:lncRNA from 1 species
CAGCACCUUAGCAGGAAGAGCCAUCCAGGCAGAUCAAAAAGAGGCACGUAAUUGCACUUAGCACCUCACGGUUCCUGCUAGGAUGGCCUCCAAAGAAUGCCAAAUUUAUGAAGAAGGUUUUGAACACCUUGACAUCUUGGAAAUCUCAGAGCUUCUGCUGGACAAUCUAGACGAUGAGCAGCAGCAAAGUCUGCUAAUUAAAGAUGGAAGUUUUCCGGAGAUGGUGAAAAAUGUGCCUGAACAUGAG